rnacentral:rRNA from 1 species
GGGCGUAAGCGUACGCAGGCGGUUUGUUAAGCGAGAUGUGAAAGCCCCGGGCUCAACCUGGGAACUGCAUUUCGAACUGGCAAACUAGAGUGUGAUAGAGGGUGGUAGAAUUUCAGGUGUAGCGGUGAAAUGCGUAGAGAUCUGAAGGAAUACCGAUGGCGAAGGCAGCCACCUGGGUCAACACUGACGCUCAUGUACGAAAGCGUGGGGAGCAAACGGGAUUAGAUACCCCGGUAGUCCACGCCGUAAACGAUGUCUACUAGAAGCUCGGAACCUCGGUUCUGUUUUUCAAAGCUAACGCAUUAAGUAGACCGCCUGGGGAGUACGGCCGCAAGGUUAAAACUCAAAUGAAUUGACGGGGGCCCGCACAAGCGGUGGAGCAUGUGGUUUAAUUCGAUGCAACGCGAAGAACCUUACCUACACUUGACAUACAGAGAACUUACCAGAGAUGG